GUCGAACGCGAAAGUGGAGCAUCCAUGAGUAGAGUGGCAAACGGGUGAGUAACGCGUGGGUGACCUGCCUUCGAGUGGGGGAUAACGCUCCGAAAGGGACGCUAAUACCGCAUAACAUCCUGUCUUUUAAGAGAUGGCGAUCAAAGUCUGGGACCGCAAGGCCAGGCGCUCGACGAGGGGCCCGCGUCUGAUUAGCUAGUUGGUGGGGUAAUGGCUCACCAAGGCAUCGAUCAGUAUCCGGCCUGAGAGGGCGGACGGACACACUGGGACUGAGACACGGCCCAGACUCCUACGGGAGGCAGCAGUGGGGAAUUGUUCGCAAUGGGCGCAAGCCUGACGACGCAACGCCGCGUGGAGGAUGAAGACCUUCGGGUCGUAAACUCCUUUCGAUCGAGACGAAUGGCCUCUGGGUUAACAGCCCGGAGGAGUGACGGUACCGAGAGAAGAAGCCCCGGCUAACUCCGUGCCAGCAGCCGCGGUAAUACGGGGGGGGCAAGCGUUGUUCGGAAUUACUGGGCGUAAAGGGCUCGUAGGUGGCCAACUAAGUCAGACGUGAAAUCCCUCGGCUUAACCGGGGAACUGCGUCUGAUACUGGAUGGCUCUGAGUUUGGGAGAGGGAUGCGGAAUUCUAGGUGUAGCGGUGAAAUGCGUAAAUAUCUGGAGGAACACCGGUGGCGAAAGCGGCAUCCUGGACCAACACUGA
rnacentral:rRNA from 1 species